rnacentral:rRNA from 1 species
AGUGAACGCUGGCGGUAGGCCUAACACAUGCAAGUCGAACGGCAGCACAGUAAGAGCUUGCUCUUACGGGUGGCGAGUGGCGGACGGGUGAGGAAUACAUCGGAAUCUACUUUUUCGUGGGGGAUAACGUAGGGAAACUUACGCUAAUACCGCAUACGACCUACGGGUGAAAGCAGGGGAUCUUCGGACCUUGCGCGAUUGAAUGAGCCGAUGUCGGAUUAGCUAGUUGGCGGGGUAAAGGCCCACCAAGGCGACGAUCCGUAGCGGGUGUGAGGGGAGGAUGCGCCACACUGGAACUGAGACACGGUCCAGACUCCUACGGGAGGCAGCAGUGGGGAAUAUUGGACAAUGGGCGCAAGCCUGGUCCAGCCAUACCGCGUGGGUGAAGAAGGCCUUCGGGUUGUAAAGCCCUUUUGUUGGGAAAGAAAAGCAGCAGGUUAAUACCCCGCUGUUCUGACGGUACCCAAAGAAUAAGCACCGGCUAACUUCGU